CCUACGGGUGGCAGCAGUGGGGAAUAUUGGGCAAUGGGCGCAAGCCUGACCCAGCAACGCCGCGUGAAGGAAGAAGGCUUUCGGGUUGUAAACUUCUUUUGACAGGGAAGAGUAGAAGACGGUACCUGUCGAAUAAGCCACGGCUAACUACGUGCCAGCAGCCGCGGUAAUACGUAGGUGGCAAGCGUUGUCCGGAUUUACUGGGUGUAACGGGCGUGUAGCCGGGUUGACAAGUCAGAUGUGAAAGCCUGCGGCUUAACCGCAGAACUGCAUUUGAAACUGUUGAUCUUGAGUACUGUAGAGGCAGACGGAAUUCCUGGUGUAGCGGUGAAAUGCGUAGAUAUUAGGAGGAACACCAGUGGCGAAGGCAGUCUGCUGGACAGCAACUGACGGUGAGGCGCGAAAGCGUGGGGAGCAAACAGGAUUAGAUACCCUUGUAGUC
rnacentral:rRNA from 1 species